rnacentral:rRNA from 1 species
GACGAACGCUGGCGGCAGGCUUAAUACAUGCAAGUCGUGGGGCAGCAGGGGUAGCAAUACUCGCUGGCGACCGGCAAACGGGUGCGGAACACGUACACAACCUUCCUUCUAGUGGGGAAUAGCCCAGGGAAACUUGGAUUAAUACCCCGUAACAUAUUGAGGUGGCAUCACCUUAAUAUUAUAGCUCCGGCGCUAGAUGAUGGGUGUGCGGCUGAUUAGAUAGUUGGCGGGGUAACGGCCCACCAAGUCUACGAUCAGUAGCUGAUGUGAGAGCAUGAUCAGCCACACGGGCACUGAGACACGGGCCCGACUCCUACGGGAGGCAGCAGUAAGGAAUAUUGGUCAAUGGACGCAAGUCUGAACCAGCCAUGCCGCGUGGAGGAUGAAGGUCCUCUGGAUUGUAAACUUCUUUUAUUUGGGAAGAAACCCACUGUUUCUACGGUGGUUGACGGUACCAGAUGAAUAAGCACCGGCUAACUCCGUGCCAGCCGCCGCAGUAAGAC